rnacentral:rRNA from 1 species
UGCGUAGGCGGAAUAAUAAGUCAGUGGUGAAAUCCUGUGGCUCAACCACAGAACUGCCAUUGAUACUGUUAUUCUUGAAUAUAGUUGAGGUAGGCGGAAUGUGUAAUGUAGCGGUGAAAUGCUUAGAUAUUACACAGAACACCGAUUGCGAAGGCAGCUUGCUAAACUAUUAUUGACGCUGAGGCACGAAAGCGUGGGUAGCAAACAGGAUUAGAUACCCUGGUAGUCC